rnacentral:rRNA from 1 species
GCGGUUAAAGAUGGGCGUGCGCCUGAUUAGAUAGUUGGCGGGGUAACGGCCCACCAAGUCUGCGAUCAGUAACUGGUGUGAGAGCACGACCAGUCACACGGGCACUGAGACACGGGCCCG